GACGAACGCUGGCGGCGUGCCUAAUACAUGCAAGUAGAACGCUGAAGGCGGAGCUUGCUUCUCUGGAUGAGUUGCGAACGGGUGAGUAACGCGUAGGUAACCUGCCUGGUAGCGGGGGAUAACUAUUGGAAACGAUAGCUAAUACCGCAUAAGAGUAGAUGUUGCAUGACAUUUGCUUAAAAGGUGCAAUUGCAUCACUACCAGUUGGACCUGCGUUGUAUUAGCUAGUUGGUGGGGUAACGGCUCACCAAGGCGACGAUACAUAGCCGACCUGAGACGGUGGUCAGCCGCACUGAGACUGAGACACGGCCCAGACUCCUACGGGAGGCAGCAGUAGGGAAUCUUCGGCAAUGGACGGAAGUCUGACCGCGCAACGCCGCGUGAGUGAAGAAGGUUUUCGGAUCGUAAAGCUCUGUUGUAAGAGAAGAACGAGUGUGAGAGUGGAAAGUUCACACUGUGACGGUAUCUGACCAGAAAGGGACGGCUAACUACGUG
rnacentral:rRNA from 1 species